rnacentral:rRNA from 1 species
GACGAACGCUGGCGGCGUGCUUAACACAUGCAAGUCGAACGCUGAAGCUCAGCUUUUGUUGGGUGGAUGAGUGGCGAACGGGUGAGUAACACGUGAGUAACCUGCCCCCUUCUUUGGGAUAACGCCCGGAAACGGGUGCUAAUACUGGAUAUUCACUGGUCUUCGCAUGGGGGUUGGUGGAAAGGGUUUUUCUGGUGGGGGAUGGGCUCGCGGCCUAUCAGCUUGUUGGUGGGGUGAUGGCCUACCAAGGCUUUGACGGGUAGCCGGCCUGAGAGGGUGACCGGUCACAUUGGGACUGAGAUACGGCCCAGACUCCUACGGGGGGCAGCAGUGGGGAAUAUUGCACAAUGGGCGCAAGCCUGAUGCAGCGACGCCGCGUGAGGGAUGGAGGCCUUCGGGUUGUGAACCUCUUUCGCUCAUGGUCAAGCCGCAACAAUGGUUGUGGUGAGGGUAGUGGGUAAAGAAACGCCGGCUAACUACGU